rnacentral:rRNA from 1 species
GCAAGUCUGGUGCCAGCAGCCGCGGUAAUUCCAGCUCCAAUAGCGUAUAUUAAAGUUGUUGCAGUUAAAACGUCCGUAGUCAAACUUUAGUCUUACCGGCGUAGUGGCCUGGUCUUCAUUGACCAAGCUCAUUGCUGCCGGAGACUCCACGUCCAUUGACUCCUAGUCCUCGUGGCUAGGGUUUUCUGGACAAUUACCAUGAGCAAAUCAGAGUGUUUAAAGCAGGCUUUUAAGCUUGAAUGUGUUAGCAUGGAAUAAUGAAAUAUGACUUUAGUCCUAUUUUCGUUGGUUUAGGUACUUCAGUAAUGAUGAAUAGAAACGGUUAGGGGCAUUUGUAUUUGGUCGCUAGAGGUGAAAUUCUUGGAUUGACCGAAGACAAACUACUGCGAAAGCAUUUGCCAA